GCAUGGUGGUUCAAUGGUAGAAUUCUCACCUCCCACAUGGGAGACCUGGGUUUGAUUCCCAGCCAGUGCA
rnacentral:tRNA from 1 species